GCCUGAGUGGCUCAUUUGGUUAAGCGUCUGACUUCAGUCCAGGUCAUGAUCUCACAGUUAGUGGGUUCAAGCCCCACAUCAGGCU
rfam:Felis catus isolate Cinnamon breed Abyssinian chromosome A1, whole genome shotgun sequence.